rfam:Oryza nivara chromosome 9, whole genome shotgun sequence.
AAUAAGUGCAGUCUUAGUUUCCGCACUCAACUUUAAUAGUCCGUCUUAUUUGAACUUUUUUAUAAUUAGCAUUUUUGUUACUAUGAGAUGAUAAAAUAUGAAUAAUACUUUACUCAUGACUUAUGUUUUUAAUUUUUUUAAAAAAAAUUUAAAUAAGAUGAACGAUUAAAGUUAAACGUGAAAAACCAUGGCUGCACUUAUU